AUGGCUUCCAUCAAUGUUUUGUCAUUCAUGAUACCACUUCUACUCAUAACUUUUUCAUCAAUGGCAAAUGUUGAAGGGUCACGUAACCUUCAAAGCAUACAUGAAGUUUCCAAAGCUGAAUUGCCAUCACUACCAAUACCUAAUCUGCCAAAUCUGCCAGCACUACCAGCACAGCCACAAUUGCCAGCACUACCCGCACUUCCUGCACAGCCACAAUUGCCAACAAUUCCAAACUUAGGUCUUCCUAAUAUUCCUGGAAUUCCACAGAUUCCUAAGCCAUAA